rnacentral:snoRNA from 1 species
GCUCUCUUGUGAUGUUUUGCACUGGGCUCAGAAUAUCAGUGGUGAGAAAAGUGCAGCUCUGCUCCUGACAUGGCAGAGUCUGAAAAGAGA